UACGGAGGAUGCAAGCGUUAUCCGGAUUUAUUGGGUUUAAAGGGUGCGCAGGUUGUUUGAUAAGUCAGUGGUGAAAGUCUGUCGCUUAACGGUAGGAUUGCCAUUGAUACUGUUGGACUUGAAUAUGGAUGAGGUAGGCGGAAUGUGUAGUGUAGCGGUGAAAUGCAUAGAUAUUAUACAGAACACCGAUUGCGAAGGCAGCUUACUAAUCCAUCAUUGACGCUGAGGCACGAAAGCGUGGGGAUCAAACA
rnacentral:rRNA from 1 species